rnacentral:rRNA from 1 species
UACGUAGGGCGCGAGCGUUGUCCGGAAUUAUUGGGCGUAAAGAGCUCGUAGGCGGCCUGUUGCGUCCGCUGUGAAAUCCCGGGGCUCAACCCUGGGCGUGCAGUGGAUACGGGCAGGCUGGAGGCAGGCAGGGGAGAACGGAAUUCCCGGUGUAGCGGUGAAAUGCGUAGAGAUCGGGAGGAACACCAGUGGCGAAGGCGGCUACCUGGACCAGCACUGACACUGAGGCACGAAAGCGUGGGGAGCAAACAGG